GUAGCAGGGUCAAGCUGUUAUCGUAUUUGUAUGUCCGCGCCCGCCGUAAAGAGCACUGAUUUGUAUGUCCGCGCCCGCCGUAAGUGCUCGCUAUCGUGUUCCUAGUUUGUCCGCGUGUCGUAUCCCGUUGUGUGGUUCAUAUAGCGUACAGAGGUAUUGCGUUUUGUUACUCGUGUUUAUGUGGUUUUCUACGUUUGUAUUCUAUGGUGUGGUUUUGUACGUAUUACGUAAAGUUGUGUCAGUUGUUUUCAUUGGUCAGUGUUUUGGUCACUUGGCGGGUAUUUGUCUUUGUCUCGGGUAGGUGUCAGUUCCGAGUUGGACUCGACGACCGUACGGACGUGUUUGUAAUUUUGAAUUUCUCAUAGUAUUGGGAGUUUCACAAGGUCUGUGUAGAUACGGCUCUGCGCCACACGCAGGUAGCUAUGUGUUAUUUUUUAGUAAUGAAUAUCUGUUAUUUGAAUUACCUGAGUAAUUAAUAUGUGAAAGUAAUGGUAUUAGUAUUUAUAGUAAUGUAUGUAUCAUUAAGCAACUAUUGUAUUUAUAGCGGAUCGCUGUAAUAUAAGAAAUCUUUAGUAAGCGUUGUGCUCUAAAUGUAUGUUUAAUCAGUGUCAGUGUAUAGUAUGUAUGUUAUAUCGAUUGUUAUUUUGUUACAGGGUUAUACAUGUACCCUGGUACAUUCUCGAAUAAAUGACAGAGACCUCA